GUAGCUGUGGCCGAGUGGUUAAGGCGAUAGACUCAAAAUCCAUAGGGGUCUCCCCGCGUAGGUUUGAAUCCUCCCGGCUGCG